rnacentral:rRNA from 1 species
UACGUAGGGUGCGAGCGUUGUCCGGAAUUAUUGGGCGUAAAGAGCUCGUAGGCGGCUUGUCGCGUCGGAUGUGAAAGCCCGGGGCUUAACCCCCGGGUCUGCAUUCGAUACGGGCAGGCUAGAGUUCGGUAGGGGAGAUCGGAAUUCCUGGUGUAGCGGUGAAAUGCGCAGAUAUCAGGAGGAACACCGGUGACGAAGGCGGAUCUCUGGGCCGAUACUGACGCUGAGGAGCGAAAGCGUGGGGAGCGAACAGG